AAACCCAAGAGUUUCACAACUACCUUGUUCAGAACUUAAAGAGAAAUCUCGAGUUUAUGGACUUCAGGGGGAGUAUGGUCACAAGGCUGAAACUUAAAGGAAUUGACGGAAGGGCACACCAGGAGUGGAGCCUGCGGCUUAAUUUGACUCAACACGGGAAAACUUACCAAGACCGAACAGUAGAAGGAAUGACAGAUUAAGAGUUCUUUCAUGAUUUAUUGGGUAGUGGUGCAUGGCCGUUCUUAGUUGGUGGAGUGAUUUGUCAGGUUAAUUCCGGUAACGAACGAGACUGAAACCUAUUAAUUAGUUUCCUGCCUAUACGACAGGAAUCUCCGCAAGGUCAGGUGCCUCGGUACCACUUCUUAAAGGGACACAUUUCAAUUGUCUCAUUUUAAUCGAUGUCUCUGGCUCCGGUCAGAACUCUUUUAACGUGAGAAAAAGAAAAAGGAAGCAUUCAGCAAUAACAGGUCUGUGAUGCCCUUAGACAUCUUGGGCCGCACGCGCGCUACAAUGGAGUUACUAGAGAGUAUUUUAUCAUCCAACCCUUAUAUUGAGAAACU
rnacentral:rRNA from 1 species